GACGAACGCUGGCGGCGUGCUUAACACAUGCAAGUCGAACGGAAAGGCCCUGCUUUUGUGGGGUGCUCGAGUGGCGAACGGGGGAGUAACACGUGAGUAACCUGCCCUUGACUUUGGGAUAACUUCAGGAAACUGGGGCUAAUACCGGAUAGGAGCUCCUGCUGCAUGGUGGGGGUUGGAAAGUUUCGGCGGUGGUGGAUGGACUCGCGGCUUAUCAGCUUGUUUGUGGGGUAGUGGCUUACCAAGGCUUUGACGGGUAGCCGGCCUGGGAGGUUGGCCGGCCACAUUGGGCCUGCGAUAGGGAGCAGAAUCCUACGGGCGGCAGCAGGCGGGAGUAUUGCACAGUGGGCGGACGCCUGAUGCAGCAACGCCGCGUGCGGGAUGACGGCCUUCGGGUUGUAAACCGCUUUCGCCUGUGCCGAAGCGUGAGUGACGGUAAUGGGUAAAGAAGCCCCGGCUAACUACGUG
rnacentral:rRNA from 1 species